GACGAACGCUGGCGGCGUGCCUAAUACAUGCAAGUUGAGCGAUGAAGAUUGGUGCUUGCACCAAUUUGAAGAGCAGCGAACGGGUGAGUAACGCGUGGGGAAUCUGCCUUUGAGCGGGGGACAACAUUUGGAAACGAAUGCUAAUACCGUAUAACAACUUUAAACAUAAGUUUUAAGUUUGAAAGAUGCAAUUGCAUCACUCAAAGAUGAUCCCGCGUUGUAUUAGCUAGUUGGUGAGGUAAAGGCUCACCAAGGCGAUGAUACAUAGCCGACCUGAGAGGGUGAUCGGCCACAUUGGGACUGAGACACGGCCCAAACUCCUACGGGAGGCAGCAGUAGGGAAUCUUCGGCAAUGGACGAAAGUCUGACCGAGCAACGCCGCGUGAGUGAAGAAGGUUUUCGGAUCGUAAAACUCUGUCGGUAGAGAAGAACGUUGGUGAGAGUGGAAAGCUCAUCAAGUGACGGUAACUACCCAGAAAGGGACGGCUAACUACGUG
rnacentral:rRNA from 1 species